rnacentral:rRNA from 1 species
GAUGAACGCUGGCGGCGUGCCUAAUACAUGCAAGUCGAGCGAACGGACGAGAAGCUUGCUUCUCUGAUGUUAGCGGCGGGCGGGUGAGUAACACGUGGAUAACCUACCUAUAAGACUUGGAUAACUUCGGGAAACCGGAGCUAAUACCGGAUAAUAUUUUGAACCGCAUGGUUCAAAAGUGAAUGACGGUCUUGCUGUCACUUAUAGAUGGAUUCGCGAUGCAUUAGCUAGUUGGUAAGGUAACGGCUUACCAAGGCAACGAUGCAUAGCCGACCUGAGAGGGUGAGCGGCCACACUGGAACUGAGACACGGUCCAGACUACUACGGGAGGCAGCAGUAGGGAAUCUUACGCAAUGGGCGAAAGCCUGACGGAGCAACGCCGCGUGAGUGAUGAAGGUCUUCGGAUCGUAAAACUCUGUUAUUAGGGAAGAACAUAUGUGUAAGUAACUGUGCACAGCUUGACGGUACCUAAUCAGAAAGCCACGGCUAACUACGUG